GAAAAAGGGGUGAAAAGAACAAAGUUUUGUCCAUCUUUGUUUAUCAUAGCUGAAAGUUAGAGAAGAGAAAGGAGAGGAGAAAGCUCUUGAAUGUUCGGUCACUUGGGGAAGAAAAUUGAAGGCGGUUCGUGUGUGGAUCUCGUCAGCAUAUCGUCGCAAACAAGUGUGUAACUAACACCUUCUUAUAGACUAGAUCGGCAAAAGCCGAAAAGCUGGUAUUUUGAGAACUUGCUAGUGUACGAAUGCUCGUGAUGUAUAUGGUAAAUUAAAGUGAUAAGACUGCAGAGUGUGCGAUUCCGUGUAUUUCGAUGUUUUUGGGCUUAAUGGGCCAAAAACGGGAUAAUGGGCCAACGGGCCCAAGUAGGUAAUCCCCAACCAUAGUGGGCUUGGAGCUGUUAGGGAAUUCGGAGUGGCCACCUAUUCUGAAAGUUUGAUUUUCUUCUGGUGAACUGGAUAUCGUUUUAUUUACGUUUGAAGUUUUGGGUUUUUAAAUGUAAUAAGGCCGCUUAAUUAUUUUUGAUGGUUUUAAUAUUUAUUACUAAGAUAGGUAUUACUUA